CAACUUUUCAUCAUCUACAGGUGAUCUCAUUCUCGAGGGGUCCUUUCCUAUUUAUCUUUAACUUCCACCCAUUAAAUUCAUAUGAAAAGUAUGAUGUUGGCAUAGAGGAAGCUGGUGAAUAUACCAUGAUAUUGAACUCUGAUGAAGUAAAAUAUGGGGGUCAAGGACUUGUAUCGGAGGACCAGUAUCUCCAACGGUCAAUUAGCAAGAGGAUUGAUGGUCAACGAAAUUGCUUAGAGGUGUUUUUGCCAAGCAGGACUGCCCAAGUUUACAAGUUGACCCGGAUUCUUCGAAUAUGAUCCUCUAUGUGUAAGCUGCAUACGAACACCAAGUUUGUACGAGAGGUGAUGUUAUACAGACAUGACUCGUCCAAGCAAUGAUGGCAGUUGAGAAGAUAUUCACAGAAGAUGGACAAACAAGAAAAUCAUAAAGAGAACCCGAGGACGACUAUUUCAUAUUGUGGUGUAGAUCAAGCUGCGUCAUGUAAUGAGAAAUUUAACAAACGAACAUCUUUAUGCAAAGCUUUGCUUGAUGUUAUGUAGUGACUUUCUAGGUAGAUGCUCAAGUUUGUGUAAUAUUAUACUUUGGUAGUUAUUAAUUUGGUAUAUAUAGUUAAAAACGAAAAAAUUGGUAUAUAUAAAUUGGUUAAUGCAUUCCUCAACAAAAUCAUUGCUUUCCACAAGACAAGAAGCAAUCCAGCUGCUUAGAUAUAUUGUUUACCUAGUCAAAAAAAAAUGUAAAGGCAAACAGGUAAUAAAUGAGCUCAAGCAGAAGAAUGUUGUGCUUGUGAAGCAUCCGAAGGAGAGAAAAGGUCAUCAUAUGAAACAGGUACUCUGAUCCUCUCAUGAACA